AGGAAAAAGAAGAAGAAAAAGAAAAAGAGAAAAAAAAAUUGGUCCUGCAGGAAGAAGAAGAAGAAGAAGAGCCCGCCUGGCGGUGCUCCGGUGGCGCGCCCGCCUGGCUUUCGCUAUUUUUUUUCGGCGAAAAAAAAAAGAACGAGAGAACGAAGAGGAGAGAGAAAGAGGAAAGAGAAAAAGUAAUAAGGGUAUUUUGGUCAGUUUGCUGAAAAAGUGGACCGAAUUUGUAAAAACGAAAAAGGUGACCCGAUUUUGCAAAAGCUCAAAAUAAGUGGAUUUUUUAUGCAAAAAGGCCAUAUAUAUAUAUAUAUAUAUAUAAAGUUCUACCAAAAAUGUACCUAAAUUCAAAUACAAUUAAAAUUCUACUCUAACUAAAACCUAAGUCGAAGUAAAUUUAUUUCUACUAAACAUAAAUAUUUAUCCUAAUUUAAUUAAAAUUUUACUAUAAAUCUAACUAAAUUCUAACAGAUAUAUCAACAACUUGAGUUUAAGUACGUACUUUUAGCCAAUUAAUUAUUAGUCUCUUAAGUUGAACCAUUACGUAUGGCUAUCGAAAUCCAUUAAUCCAAACUGUAUGUAUCGUCACGC
rnacentral:lncRNA from 1 species